UUUGCAGGUGGUUGGUUUUUUUCUUGAUAUUGCGGAGCUGAAGAUCAGUAGGCACCUACUAAUGGCUCUAUCUCGCUGACUUCUCUGGUCAGAAUAGACAAGAGCUUCAGGUGUCUUUUUACUAGCUGAUUAUUGGUACAAGCCAUUGCUUCCCACUGUAUGAUGAAAGUCUAGGGGUCAGCAUGGGUAGUGGGUAGAACCGAAACCUGCGGGUAGAACCGGAACCGGAACCGGAACUGGAACCUACCUGGAACAGACACUGUGUGGGUAGGUUAUGGUUCCAUUUUAUUGGAACCGAAACUAUGCGGUUCUGGUUCCAAUUCCUACAAGUUUCGGAACCGAAACCUAGGAAAAGAACCUGAAGGCUGAAGCAGAAGUGAUCCAACAAGAUUUGCACGUAUGGUCAAUGGAAAGAUACGAGGCCAUCUUUCACUUUCAUAUGAUCUGAGAGCAUCUUCCACGGAUGCAGAUGUACACUUGGUUGUAUUUGCAAGUUUUUUUGCAAGA